AACGAACGCUGGCGGCAGGCUUAACACAUGCAAGUCGAACGGGUGUAGCAAUACAUCAGUGGCAGACGGGUGAGUAACACGUGGGAACCUUCCUAGGGGUACGGAACAACUCAGGGAAACUUGAGCUAAUACCGUAUACGUCCGUGAGGAGAAAGAUUUAUCGCCCUUAGACGGGCCCGCGUCGGAUUAGCUAGUUGGUGGGGUAACGGCCUACCAAGGCGACGAUCCGUAGCUGAUCUUAGAGGAUGAUCAGCCACACUGGGACUGAGACACGGCCCAGACUCCUACGGGAGGCAG
rnacentral:rRNA from 1 species